GGCUGGUCUGAGUACAGUGGUAUUUAUAACUAAUUGACCACAGCUAGUUACAGAUUUCUUUGUUCCUUCUCCACUCCCACUGCUUCCCCUGACCAGCCAAAA
rnacentral:Y_RNA from 1 species